rnacentral:rRNA from 1 species
UUGAAAGGGAAACGAUUGAAGUCAGUCGUGCUGGCGCGAAAUCAACCUUCUCGUCUUGAGAUCACAUGGCGUGGCGAGACUCAAAACCGUCACGAAGCGUGAACUCUUGGUGAAAUGGAGCACUUUCGUGUCCGCUGGUUAACAUCAAUUUCGAACGUCAUAAAAAGGCUGGAGGGAUGUGGCUCCUUCGGGAGUGUUAUAACCUUUAGCGGAAUGUGGUGUUCGGGAUUGAGGAUUGCAACGAAUACCUUUAGGGCUGUUCCACCUUUCUUCUCUUUGGUAUCCUGGUGACGACAGCUGCGUCGCUUUUCAUUCGCCUUUGAACAGGCUAGAGUGUGAGCAAAUUCGUUAAGGAUGUUGACGUA